rnacentral:rRNA from 1 species
CNNGNUUACGAAUUCGCCCUUAGAGUUUGAUCAUGGCUCAGGAUGAACGCUAGCGACAGGCCUAACACAUGCAAGUCGAGGGGCAUCGGGACGUAGCAAUACGUUGCCGGCGACCGGCGGAUGGGUGAGUAACGCGUAUGCAACCUACCCGUAGCAGGGGGAUAGCCCGUUGAAAGACGGAUUAAUACCCCGUAACACAGGGGCUCCGCAUGGAGAUUAUUGUUAAAGGGUCAUUUCUUUUAGAGGUGGUCCGGCUGCGGAUGGGCAUGCGUUCCAUUAGGUAGUUGGUGUAGGUAACGGCUCACCAAGCCGACGAUGGAUAGGGGAACUGAGAGGUUGGUCCCCCACACUGGUACUGAGACACGGACCAGACUCCUACGGGAGGCAGCAGUGAGGAAUCUUGGUCAAUGGACGCAAGUCUGAACCAGCCAUGUCGCGUGAAGGAGGACGGCCCUAAGGGUUGUAAACUUCUUUUGCAGCGGAAUAAAGUUUGCCACGAGUUGGCGAUUUGCAAGUACGCUGCGAAUAAGGAUCGGCUAACUCCGUGCCAGCAGCCGCGGUAAUACGGAGGAUCCGGGCGUUAUCCGGAUUUAUUGGGUUUAAAGGGUGCGCAGGCGGGGAUUUAGGUCGGCGGUGAAAUUUCGGGGCUCAACCUCGAUAGUGCCGUUGAAACCGUUUCUCUUGAGUGCGGAUGAGGUAGGCGGAAUUUGUGGUGUAGCGGUGAAAUGCGUAGAUAUCACAAGGAACACCGAUUGCGGAGGCAGCUUACUAAACCGUUACUGACGCUCAUGCACGAAGGCGUGGGGAUCAAACAGGAUUAGAUACCCUGGUAGUCCACGCAGUAAACGAU